rnacentral:lncRNA from 1 species
GAUGAUCUAGAGUGAUUUGCUAAAAGAAAUGGGAUGAUUGAAUAGAACUUCAAGAAUAUUGAAAUCAUUUUGAGCAAAAUCCAGAAAGGAACUUCAAAUUUUGGGUACAUGGUAACAAGGAGUAGCUGUAGAAAUAUAUGUGGCCUAAAUUCAUUAUGAGGACUAGUGAAUUACUUGAGGAACGAGAAGUAACUUUUUGAAAAAAAUGCUCUAGUUGUACGAGGCCCGGUGUUAUAGCUAUUUUUUAUGCAUUAUUAGUUGGUCUUAUUGAAAUUUUGAGAAUGUUGUAACUUGAAAUACUGGAAAAUGCUCGUGAAAAAGGAAAUUCAUAGUUGAUUUAGAGCAUGAAUUUGUGUUGGCUUACUUGGAUUUGAUUUUGUUUACAAAAUCGAGGUGCAAGAAAAAUUGAUGAAGAACCAUUAUGAAUCUCCACACUAUUCAUAUAUUAAAUCCAAAAAGUAGUGAUUACAUAGUCAUUAACUGCUUGUCAAAUAUCCAACAUCAUGGAAUUGGCUGUUUCUAAUUCAUUAUCAUGUAAUGUAGUAAGGUUAUUGUUCGAUGUCCAGGACUAAAUCACUAUACAGAAGCUCUUCUUGAACAAGAAUAUUUACGGCUAUAUAUAUAAGUUUGAAUAUUUCUACUUUUGUAAAAAUUACAUUCAAGGCCUCAUAAUAAUUAAUUGCCUAGGGCCUCAAAAUUCUCAGGGCCGGCCCUGCCAGAUU